AAAGUCGUAACAAGGUUUCCGUAGGUGAACCUGCGGAAGGAUCAUUAGUGAAUAUUAGGGUGCUCUUUUCUGCGGAAGCGAUUAGAGGCCUGACCUCCACUUAUCCUAACACUGUGCACCUUUAAAAAUUGAAGUGGGCUUUAGUUAGCUCGCUACAAUUUCUCAUCUUUAACACUAGUCAAAGAAUGUAAAUAAAACAUAACAAAAAAAAAACUUUCAACAACGGAUCUCUUGGCUCUC
rnacentral:misc_RNA from 1 species